GAUGAACGCUGGCGGCGUGCCUAAUACAUGCAAGUCGAGCGGACAGACGAGGAGCUUGCUCCUCUGACGUUAGCGGCGGACGGGUGAGUAACACGUGGAUAACCUACCUAUAAGACUGGGAUAACUUCGGGAAACCGGAGCUAAUACCGGAUAAUAUAUUGAACCGCAUGGUUCAAUAGUGAAAGACGGUUUUGCUGUCACUUAUAGAUGGAUCCGCGCCGCAUUAGCUAGUUGGUAAGGUAACGGCUUACCAAGGCAACGAUGCGUAGCCGACCUGAGAGGGUGAUCGGCCACACUGGAACUGAGACACGGUCCAGACUCCUACGGGAGGCAGCAGUAGGGAAUAUUCCGCAAUGGGCGAAAGCCUGACGGAGCAACGCCGCGUGAGUGAUGAAGGUCUUCGGAUCGUAAAACUCUGUUAUUAGGGAAGAACAAAUGUGUAAGUAACUAUGCACGUCUUGACGGUACCUAAUCAGAAAGCCACGGCUAACUACGUG
rnacentral:rRNA from 1 species